rnacentral:rRNA from 1 species
AUUGAACGCUGGCGGCAUGCUUUACACAUGCAAGUCGAACGGCAGCGCGGGCUUCGGCCUGGCGGCGAGUGGCGAACGGGUGAGUAAUACAUCGGAACGUGCCCAGUAGUGGGGGAUAGCUCGGCGAAAGCCGGAUUAAUACCGCAUACGACCUGAGGGUGAAAGCGGGGGAUCUUCGGACCUCGCGCUAUUGGAGCGGCCGAUGGCAGAUUAGCUAGUUGGUGGGGUAAAGGCCUACCAAGGCGACGAUCUGUAGCUGGUCUGAGAGGACGACCAGCCACACUGGGACUGAGACACGGCCCAGACUCCUACGGGAGGCAGCAGUGGGGAAUUUUGGACAAUGGGCGAAAGCCUGAUCCAGCAAUGCCGCGUGUGUGAUGAAGGCCUUCGGGUUGUAAAGCACUUUUGGAGGGAACGAAAAGGACUGUGCCAAUACCACGGUUCGAUGACGGUACCCGCAGAAUAAGCACCGGCUAACUACGUG